rnacentral:lncRNA from 1 species
CGGCACCUAUUCACUCACAAAUUUCUAAAAAUGCAUACCCAAAGACCCCCUUAGCCAAAUUGCACAAACAAGUCUCCCAAUCAGCUACAACACUCCCUAAUUUGAAUUCCUUAACCCUUUCCUAAAAUCUCACCCUUUAUCCCUCCUUGAUAUCCUCCAUAACACCCUCCAAGACCCAUUCAAACUCUCACCCAACAUAGUUCGAAACCAC